UACGAAGGGGGCUAGCGUUGCUCGGAAUGACUGGGCUUAAAGGGCGCGUAGGCGGGCCAUAAAGUCAGGGGUGAAAUCCUCCAGCUUAACUGGAGAACUGCCUUUGAUACUGAUGGUCUCGAGUAAGGUAGGGGCAUGCGGAACUGAUGGUGGAGCGGUGAAAUGUGUUGAUAUCAUCAGGAACUCCGGUGGCGAAGGCGGCAUGCUGGACCUUCACUGACGCUGAGGCGCGAAAGCUAGGGGAGCGAACGGG
rnacentral:rRNA from 1 species